rnacentral:hammerhead_ribozyme from 1 species
ACUCAGCUGACGAGCUUCAAAUAGGACGAAACGCGCUUCCUGGAU